AUUUUGAAAAAAAAUUUAUAAAAAUAUUCAAAUUUGAAAAAGUAUAAUUUGAAAACAUAAAAAAAUAUUUUAUUUUUUAUUUUUUAUUUUAUUUAUUUAUUUGAAUAGUUACUUAUUACACAUAUAUAGAGAGAACAAAGGUAUAAGUUUUUUUACCUCUUAGUGGAAAAGAUAUUUUUGAAAAUGUCUCUUUAGUGAUUGUAAACAUAAAUAAUGUUAUCAACAAAAUAGUAAACAUGAAAAUUCCCAAUUAUGAUUUCAAAAGCCCAAGUAUUACUAUAUACUAGUGGUGUGUCCGCGCUACGCGCGGGAUCUAUGAUAAUUGUUCAACCAUAUGUUUAGUAAUGUAUUGAUGUUGAUAAUGUUUAUACUGGGAAUUAGGUCCCGGAUUUUGUGGUGUUGAAAUGGUGGUUAUCAUUGUUGUGUUACUUGAUUAGUACUUAGGUGGUUUUAACUUAUGUACGGCUGUACGCAAUGAUUUAUGGUUUUUGAGUUAGUGGGUAGAGUAAGUUGAUUUGAAGAGAGAAUUUGGAAUGAUGUUCGACCAAUUAUAUUUUUGUAAGGCGGUUGUAUAGUUUGUGUUGUUGCCGUAGCCAUUUUUUAUAGUUUUGUAAGGCAUAUAACUUAAAUGCAACUGAUGGAGUUUAUUGAAGUUCUGUCUAUUCAAUUGUAUAUUCUUAGUGUGUUAUUACUGUGCAUAAGUGUGAAGUAGUGUUUGUUUGCCGUUUCUGUGUUAGUUUAUAUAUUAUUGUACGUUAGUGUUCAGAAAUAUAUUUAAUUUUGCACAGACUGAUGACUGGAUAUUGUAAUUGUUUUUUGGUUAACUGGUUGUGGGCUGUGUUUUGUUACUAUGUGCCAUGUAUUUGGACGACUAUUGAAGCACAAGAACUUGUUUGAUCUGUUGGUAUUGUUUGGAUUGGCUCGGAUUCAUUUUUAUCUAAUUAAUAAUUGUUUCUGGGUAAUAGGUAUGGAGUAAUUAUUUAUUUUUUGUUGAUACUUAGUUUCCCAUUCUAUUUUUGGGGUAAAUUAUGGAGUAUGGAUGAAGAUGGUCUUUGUUUACAUGCUCUCUCAUAGGUGAACAAAAAAAGGUUUAGUUUUCAUCUUAUGACACAUUCAUUUUCAUAGUGUCAGAUUUAACUAUUUUAAUACGAUUUUGUUAUGUAUAUGUGACUAAAUAAAACACAACUUCAUCAUUUGAUGUGGUGUGACGGGGUUGACAUUUUAUAAUAAACAAAAAUUGAAAUUUAAAGUAAGAGUAACACAUAACAUAAAUUGUUUUUUUCUUAUAAUAAUGAUAGAUUUUUUAAUAAAUAAAAGUAAUUUUAAAAUAUUAAAAUAUAAAGAUAUUAAUAUAACUAAUUUUUAUGAUUUUAAAAAUUAAAAUCAAUUUUAUUUGAAAAGUAUUUCAUUGAUUAUAAAUAUAUAUAGAAUAUAAAAUAUUGUAUUUAUAUGAAUAUUUGGCCAAAUAAUAAGAAGAAAAUAAUAUAUGUGAAAUCUUAUAACAUUUUUAAAAUAUGUUGGUGCACCAAUUAAAUAUGAUUGUCUUUAUGAAUGAACAAAGCAGGGAUUUUAUUAUUACUUCUUAAUCUCAUGGGUCAUGGCCAUCACUCGCGGGAGAGAAUGACGAUGGAAAUUCUUCUUGCUUUACUUUUUUUGUAAAUUUUCUUGCUUUACUGAAUUUUCAUAAUUUAAAUUCAGAAACGAAAUAUCUCCGUCUUUAUGCAUAAACACUUAAAAUUUUUCAACUAAUUCUUACAUUCUUCUUCGUAGAGAAAAACCUCAAAAUAAUAAGUAGAAGAUGCAUGAGUUCUCAUAAACGGUUUUUGUGGAAUCUGCGAGAUUUUAAAUUUUUUUUAGAACACAACCUGCGAGUAUAUAUAUGUAAGUGUGUGUGCAGGUAAAAGAUCAAUUUGCAUAGAUAAGCUGGUUUCGUUUGGGAGGCUAGCACUGAGUCAAUACCUUGAAUGUUGUCUAUUUUCCAGGUACAUAAUCACUUUUUGUUUCUUUCUCCUCUGUAUGGGUGGGCACUUCGGUUAUUAUAUCGAUUCGGUUUAGGUUCGGUUUGGUCUGGUUAAUUUGGUUCUAAAAAAAUUUCCAACUGAAUUUAACCAUAAUUAGUUAGGUUUGGAUCGGUUUCGGUUCUGUUUGUAUUCGGCUUGAUUUGUGUUUCGGUUUCGUUCAAUCGGAUUCCCCUAGUUUAGUUCUUUUAAGAGAAAUCAUGUUUGAAAACAUAAACCCAUGGUCACGAAAUCAUCAUGUUGGUUACUAUGAAAAAAAACAUUAUGUAAACUAAAUCCAAUGUAAAACUAAACAAAAAUCUUUUUAAAACCCAUAAAGUUUAGAAGAACACAAUCAGAUCAAAGUUAACUAUCAUAAAUAGAAAAUUAAAAAAUAUUGCUAAUAAUUUCUCUUAAAAAUAAACUAUGUAAAUUAAAUCUAAUAGAAAACUGAAACAAAAACCUUAAAAAUCAUAAAAAGUUGAUAAGAACACAAUCAAACCAAAGUUAACUAAAUUAAAUAGAAAUUUUUUUAAAAAAAUUUUUUAAUAAAGUUAACAGUGACUUUAGCUUUAAACCGAACUAUUUAAUAAUAGACUUUGGUUUGGUUUGGAUCGGUUUCGGUUCAGUUUGUUCGGUUUUUUUGCCCACCCAUCCACGCAUGAGCCAAUAUUUAAACUCUGGAUUUAACACAUGCCUUCAUGUAUUUAUAGAAACAUCUCAUUAAUUGUAUAUAUAUAUAUAUAUAUUAAAAUCAAAUUAGAUUUAAUUGGUGAAAUGUUAGAGUAAUAUAAUGACUACUGUAGAAAAUAUUUCUAUAGAUACCCAAAAGUCAUGAAGAAAAAGUCAAAAGUAGAAAUAUAAAUAAUUAUUAUUAUCGUUUCUCUUUUUUUUUAUCAACUAUUAGCAUUUUUCUCUAAUAAUGAAGAAGAAAAGUAUAGAGUGGGUAAACAUGUCACAUGAAUGCAUAGGUAUGAACAUGUCACCACUCCUCUUUUCUUCCAUCAUCUUGCUUCUGUCGUUUGACUCUCUCCUCACAUUUUUUGGCUUUUCAACUUUUUUCCUAGAACUUCAAUUGCUCUCUAAUUUCAAAAUUGAGACUCCAAAAAAAAUUUGUAUUCAUCUUUUCUUUUCCAUAGAUCUCACUCAAAAGUAGUAAGAAUAAAGUAUUUCUAAGUUUCCCUUUCUCUAUAAUGACUCUCUUUUUCUCUUAAUUUCCCUUUAAGUUUCACCAAUCUCUGUCUUUGUACAAAUAAAUACAUCGGAUCUUAACCUUCAAACAUGAUCUUCCGGAUAAAGUAUCUCAACAAAAGAAGUAAACCCAAAAAGUCGGGCUUCAACGGUGUUGGCACAACAACUGGCUUUCAAGUCGGAUAACAAAAGGUUCAAGGUGGCUGUUUCAGAGUCUAAGGAGGAUUGAGCUUCACGGAGGAACACAUCCUUAUUUAUAGGACGUGGAUUUUCAUAGGACGACUCUGGUGAUGCAGUUAGACGUAGAAGCUAGAUAUGGUAUUUUUGUUCCCCCAAAUUUUUAACAAAAUUUUGGUGCAAAUUUUAGUGAACUAGAUUAUAUUAGAUUAAUGAUAAAGUAAGUUUUUUUUUUGCUAAAUGGUAAAUAUUCAUUAAUGAAAAUGCUAGUUUCUACAAGCUGCUUAAGCCGCAAAGAAAAUGGCAAAAGACUUUUUGGAAUAUAAUGAAUGAAUAUCAUUUUCAAGUU